rnacentral:misc_RNA from 1 species
CGCACAUUGCGCCCCUUGGUAUUCCGAGGGGCAUGCCUGUUCGAGCGUCAUUACAACCCUCAAGCACUGCUUGGUCUUGGGCUCCGCUGCUAACCCGGCGGGCCUUAAAAUCAGUGGCGGCGCCAUGAGGCUCUGAGCGUAGUAAAUAUUCCUCGCUACAGGGACCUCGUGGUGGUGGCCAACAACCCCAACUCUCUAAGUUUGACCUCGGAUCAGGUAGGGAUACCCGCUGAACUUAA